rnacentral:lncRNA from 1 species
AAAGCCUUCAAAGCUAAAUUAAAUUUAAGCCACUUUUGAGCAAUUGACAAGAUGGAGCAGAGCUAAUCAUGAACAUUUCCAUCACAAAUGCUUUUAAAAGGCAUUUUUUUUCUUUCCAAACUGCAAACAUUCUCACUUUCUGAAGUUUUUCAGUAUCAAGAUUGUCUUAAAAAAUAAAUGCAUAUUGCUUUUCAAUGUAGGUUUCUGAGGGUUUUGUUUUUAAAGAAGAGACAGGAACUGUAUUUUAAAGCUCGAGUUUUAUUUUGCUCUUUUUUUAUCGCAGUCUGGGUGUUUCACAGGAUGUUAAAAGAGAACCAAAUUAACAUGUUGUUCACAUAUUCCCAUGAAAAUCAAUUACUACUUUCCAUUGAGCUCUUAGGAAGGAACAGYAAACAUGAAAAAUGCAUUUAUUUGGGAGCUUAGAUAAUUAAAUAUAACUUGAGUUUCCUGACAUAUAUCUACUUACUGAAAAGGAGGUUUGGGGUUACACUAAAAGCAGUGGUUUUGUUUACUUUUAUGGGAACAGUCUAGAUUUACACCAAAUGUAUUUCUAAAAAGAAUUAUGAAGUUGAUGAUGAAUUUCUUUUGUGUUUUGAGAAAAAUAUCUUAACUGAAGAUUCUGCAAAGUGUAAAUUUUGUAGCGGUCCUGAAAAGCCAGUCCCAACAGUGGUAGAUCUGAAGGAACAACCCCAUGAAAAUGUUAAGUAAGGAAGGCUUUGAGAACUACAGGGAAAUAUUUCAGCGGUAUCUGAGAUCUGCUGCCUGGGGCAAAAUUUCAUUUAUACUCUCAGAAGAAAAUGAAUACACUGUCAGACCACAGACCGCUCCUUCCAAGAAGCAUCGACCAACAUCAGCACCUCCAGAAGAUCUGCUUAAGCUGGACCGUGAUUUUGUUGCAGAGCACUUAAAGGUGUGUGGUAACCUGUGGGAUCUCUUCUUGUUGCUUGUCAUGCAGGGUAUAAGGGGAUUAUACAGACAGCUGUAUCAUGUCAAAUACGG